UACGUAGGGUGCGAGCGCUAAUCGGAAUUACUGGGCGUAAAGCGUGCGCAGGCGGUUUGUUAAGCCAGAUGUGAAAGCCCCGGGCUCAACCUGGGAACUGCGUUUGGUACUGGCAAGCUAGAGUACGGCAGAGGGGGGUGGAAUUCCACGUGUAGCAGUGAAAUGCGUAGAGAUGUGGAGGAACACCGAUGGCGAAGGCAGCCCCCUGGGCCGAUACUGACGCUCAGGCACGAAAGCGUGGGGAGCAAACAGG
rnacentral:rRNA from 1 species